rnacentral:rRNA from 1 species
UCCUACGGGAGGCAGCAGUGGGGGAUAUUGCACAAUGGGGGAAACCCUGAUGCAGCGACGCCGCGUGGGUGAAGAAGCGCCUCGGCGCGUAAAGCCCUGUCAGCAGGGAAGAAAAUGACGGUACCUGAAGAAGAAGCCCCGGCUAACUACGUGCCAGCAGCCGCGGUAAUACGUAGGGGGCAAGCGUUAUCCGGAUUUACUGGGUGUAAAGGGAGCGUAGGCGGCUGUGUAAGCCAGAAGUGAAAGCCCGAGGCUCAACCACGGGACUGCUUUUGGAACUACAUGGCUUGAUUGCAGGAGAGGCA